rnacentral:rRNA from 1 species
CAGCAGCCGCGGUAAUACCGGCGGCCCGAGUGGCGGUCACUAUUAUUGGGCUUAAAGCGUCCGUAGCCGGGUUGGGAAGUCCUCCGGGAAAUCUGGCCGCUUAACGGUCAGAAUGCCGGAGGAUACUCCCAGCCUAGGGAGCGGGGGAGGCCGAGGGUAUUCCCGGAGUAGGGGGGGAAUCCUAUAAUCCCGGGAGGACCACCUGUGGCGAAGGCGCUCGGCUGGAACGCGUCCGACGGUGAGGGACGAAGGCCAGGGGAGCAAACCGGAUUAGAUACCCGGGUAGUCCUGGCUGUAAACGAUGCGGACUUUGUGUCGGACAAGCUAUGAGCUUGUCCGGUGCCGGAGGGAAACCGUUAAGUCCGCCGCCUGGGGAGUACGGCCGCAAGGCUGAAACUUAAAGGAAUUGGCGGG